ACUCCUACGGGAGGCAGCAGUGAGGUAUAUUGCGCAAUGGGCGAAAGCCUGACGCAGCGACGCCGCGUGGGGGAUGAAGGUCUUCGGAUUGUAAACCCCUUUCGGGUGGGAAGAUGGCGCUCGACAACGAGCGUGGACGGUACCACCAGAAGCAGCCACGGCUAACUUCGUGCCAGCAGCCGCGGUAAU
rnacentral:rRNA from 1 species